rnacentral:rRNA from 1 species
GAUGAACGCUGGCGGCGUGCCUAAUACAUGCAAGUCAGGCGAACGGACGAGAAGCUUGCUUCCUUGAUUUUAGCGGCGGACGGGUGAGUAACACGUGGUUAACCUACCUAUAAGACUGGGAUAACUUCGGGAAACCGUAGCUAAUACCGGUUAAUAUUUUGAACCGCAUGGUUAAAAAGUGAAAGACGGUCUUGCUGUCACUUAUAAAUGGAUCCGCGCUGCAUUAGCUAGUUGGUAAGGUAACGGCUUACCAAGGCAACGAUGCAUAGCCGACCUGAGAGGGUGAUCGGCCACACUGGAACUGAGACACGGUCCAGACUCCUACGGGAGGCAGCAGUAGGGAAUCUUCCGCAAUGGGCGAAAGCCUGACGGAGCAACGCCGCGUGAGUGAUGAAGGUCUUCGGAUCGUAAAACUCUGUUAUUAGGGAAGAACAUAUGUGUAAGUAACUGUGCACAUCUUGACGGUACCUAAUCAGAAAGCCACGGCUAACUACGUG